ACAAUAGUAUGAUUGAUGGAAAGGAGUUUCCAUAGAAAUCAUAAUUAGACUUGAGUUGAUCAAAUCUAUUGUAUGACUGAUAUUGAGGUUUGAUAAUUUAUCCAUAAUCUGUCAUGUAGUCGGGACUCAUAAUAGAGAAACUGAAUCAUACGUUAACUACACUUUGAGGUUUAUUUUGGCUCUACUAGAUUGCCACUACAUACUGCUAGAUGUCACUG
rnacentral:lncRNA from 1 species